rnacentral:lncRNA from 1 species
UCUUCAGAUAUAGAUGUGAAUUUGCAAAAAUCAAAACCUUUGUCAGGUUCAAGUGAAAAAUCAAUGGAAGAUCAUUUUUCACGUGAAAAAUCAAAUAAAAUAGAUUUAAAUGAACAGAAAAUAUCUUUCUUUUCUCCUAAUAUGGUAAAUCUUGAUGCUGAAUGGAAGGAGAGAAAAAAAGUUUUCAGUGAUGAAGAAAUUAGGGAAAUAUCUCAUGGUUCUGGUAUAUCACUAAGUGAACAAAAAGAAAUUUCUGAUUUAAUUAGUGCUCAAAAAGAUGAACAAUUUAAAACUGAUAGUGAUAAAAGUCAAAUAAUAAAAGUUAGUUUUUUG